GCGGCAGGCCUAACACAUGCAAGUCGAACGUGAAGCCACCUUCGGGUGGUGGAAAGUGGCAGACGGGUGAGUAACGCGUGGGAAUCUACCCAAUGGUACGGAAUAACCCAGGGAAACUUGAGCUAAUACCGUAUGUGCCCGAAAGGGGAAAGAUUUAUCGCCAUUGGAUGAGCCCGCGUCUGAUUAGCUAGUUGGUGGGGUAAUGGCCCACCAAGGCGACGAUCAGUAGCUGGUCUGAGAGGAUGAUCAGCCACACUGGGACUGAGACACGGCCCAGACUCCUACGGGAGGCAGCAGUGGGGAAUAUUGGACAAUGGGCGCAAGCUUGAUCCAGCCAUGCCGCGUGAGUGAUGAAGGCCCUAGGGUUGUAAAGCUCUUUCGACGGGGACGAUAAUGACGGUACCCGUAGAAGAAGCCCCGGCUAACUUCGUGCCAGCAGCCGCCGUAAAAC
rnacentral:rRNA from 1 species